rnacentral:lncRNA from 1 species
GAUAAUAGACGAUUAAAAGUACGUAAGGUGCAGUGAAAACACUACACUAGACAUAUGAAUAAUGAUCUAUGCAGGGUCAUUCAAUUUAUUAGCAAAAGCAACCAUGUGGAUACAGGGUCAUAUCAAUCCAUCACAUUACACAAGCACGGUCUCUACAGAGAUUACAUUUCUUUUUAACUAAUUAAUUAACACUUUUUGGUGCACAUGCAUGUACGGGUCAAGCCACUACAUUUGCCUCUGGUGAAUUGCUCCUUUCUGCAGGUGUGUUUACAGUUGUUAGAGGAAAAGCACAACCCCUUGAACAAGGUGCUCGGAACCUCGCAGAUUUUUCCCUCAACUGCCUUGUUUGACUCAGUCAUUGCCUCAACACUUAUUGGCCCCAUCUCUAAUGAUCAAAAUUUUGUUGUUGAAUAAGAUGCUUUAUUCGAAACAUCAUAAAAAAUUAAUGAUAAUAAAGGGGUAUAAUUACCGGUAGCGGCCAAAAGUAGAACAAGAACGCAAACGGCUGAAACAAGACGCAUUGAACGCUCCAUUUGAAUCUGAGUGUAUGUGAGUAUGUGCUUGAUCCGUGUGUUUCUGUGUGUGUGCUUGAUUGUGAUAAGAGAGAUCUUAGCCGCUGAUGCAAAGAACAAUAACCAUGGAAGGCUUUUUAUACAGGGGUCUAGCCCAUAUUAAAAAGGAUUGGUCUCCGUAAAGCAAGGUAGCUCCAUACCCAAAAUACAAAGUUGAAAUUUCCAACUUAAGAGGCACCAUAAACAAAAUUUCUAAUUUUGAUGACUAAGUUCUCCGCCAUACAUUUUUCUAUGCAUACUAGGGUUUCUUUUUCAAGCACAUUUAACUUUUGCUUUUAAAAGAAUAGUUGGGUUAUAAGCACAUUUGACUUAUUAUUCAAAUUUUUAUAUGUAAAUGAAGUGGUGUGUGUGUGUGUGUGUAUCUCACAUAAAAGUCCAUAUUUCUUAUAACAAUAUAAUUGUUUUUUACACAAGUUUUAGUUUGUCUGUACCAAAUUAAUCUAAAUUAUAUAGAUCAGGAUUUGCACAUUAGGUGUAGACGAAGAUUACGUUGCUUUAGGUAACGUGGCUAAGCCUAAUAAAAAUGGAUGCUAAAGUCGAACCCUGAGGAAAUGAUGAUUAAUUGUAUUUCGUAGGGCAUUACAAAGACUUAAAUUUGUUGACAAAUAAGAAGUUACGCAGUAUGACGUAUUGUACAAAGUAACCCACAACGGUGAUACUUAACAAACAUGAACAUAAAAAACCAUAACAGAGAUACGAUGUCAAUUAAUCACCCAACAGUGAGUUAUUCCAACUAGUUCCACACUAGCACCAAAUUACGUGCAUCUAUGCACCACUAAUAAUUAAGUGAUAGUGAUAAGUGAUCAGCUCAUCACUAGCUUAAUUAAUUAGCUAAUUCACCAUUUUUUUGUGCAAAAGCAUCUGCGGCGUAAACCCAAGAACCAGCCACCAGUGAAGUGGUUACUCCAAGACUCGCAAGUCCUACCCUCAGCAAUUGUUGUCCCUUUGAACAAUUAUUCCAAACAAAAUAAGGUUACUAUGCAUGGUUAUAAACGGAAUAAUAUAUAUAGCAGAUAGUUGGGAGAAAACGCAUGGAACGCUUUUUAUGUAUAUAUAACAAGUUUACACUUAAGAUUUCGAACUUAGGGUAACUUAGAAUGACUAUUGAUAUAUAUAUAAGCUCUUAUAAAGUCAUACUAUAGCAAUACAUGAGAGACGAAGUUUGAGAUCGAUUUGACUUAGGACAUCCUAAAAAUAAAGUCAUAAAUUAAAAAGCUUAAGAAUUAACUAACAAAGCACAUAUAAUAAAUCAUAAAAUAUUUCAUACAACAUAGUACAAUAUCUCACAACGCAUUUUUAAGUUUUGAAAGCGUUGCAUAACAAUUUCAUUACCAAUAUCAUCAAAUAUCUAUUCCUAUCAAAAUAAUCAUGUUAUCAUUCAUCCAUUAAUUUUCUUACGAUUUAUCAUUUGAUCAUUUAGAAAUUUCAUAGCCGAAAAUACUCUAUGACAUGAAAUUAUAAUAUGCAAUAUAUGUAAAAAAAUUCACAAAAAACGAAGUUUGGGCAUCAGCUCCUUGGGCCAAGGUGGCUCCGUUCUUGGCAAUAUUACACAUACCAUGCAGAAAAGCGAGAGAAAAAUAUGAAAGUGUUGUAAGAAAGAAAAAAAUGUGGAAAAAGUCUUUUAAAAUGUUAUGAAGAAAAUAUUAAUCUUUAAGGACUAUUUCUUCUAAAAAAAUUAAAAAAAAACGAUGAAGUCUUUGCUUAAAAAUUGCUUAAGCAAUUUCGAACCUUUUUCUAAUUUUUUUUUCUUGUGCAUCAACCUCACCUUGUCUUAGAUAUAUUACUACUAGUUUAAAAGUCAAAGAACUUAAUACAACCGAAGGUGUCGAUAAAAAAAUACAUCUAAAAUCGACAAUGCUACUUAAAUAGUCUUUGUGACACAAAUUAAAGAAAUGUGUUGAAUCCAAGUACACUACGUGAAAUUUUUCAACAAAAAUGCCUUUUCAAAACGGAAAAAAAUAUAUUGUUAUUAGCAUUUGGCGAUAAUUAUCUAUCACUCUUUCUUAAUUGAAAGUCAAUAAAUGAAAGUAGAGUCUGUGGUGACUAUUUGGAAUGUUAAUAAUAACCCUGAAGAAAAACAUACAUGAUAGGCGAUUAAAAGUACAUAGGGCGUGGUGAAAACACUACACUAGACAUAUGAAUAAUGAUCAAUGUAGGGUCAUUCAAUUUAUUAGCAAAAGCAACCAUGUGAAUACAAGGCCAUAUCAAUCCAUCGCAUUACACAAACAUGGUCUCUACACAGAUUACAUUUCUUUUUAACAAAUUAAUUAGCACUUUUUGGUGCACAUGCAUGUACAGGUCAAGCCACUACAUUUCCCUCUGGUGAAUUGCUCCUUUUUGCAAGUGUGUUUACAAUUGUUAGAGGAAAAGCACAACCCCUUGAACAACGUGCUAGGAACCUCGCAAAUCUUUCCCUCAACUGCCUUGCUUGACUCAGUCCUAACCUCAACACUCAUUGGCCCCAUCUCUAAAGAUCAAAGUUUUUUGUUGAAUAAGAUGCUUUAUUCGAAACAUCAUAAAAAAUUAAUUAUUAAAAAGAG